rnacentral:rRNA from 1 species
UACGGAGGAUGCAAGCGUUAUCUGGAAUGAUUGGGCGUAAAGCGUCCGCAGGUGGCUGUGUAAGUCUGCUGUCAAAGAGCGAAGCUCAACUUCGUAAAGGCAGUGGAAACUACACGGCUAGAGUGCGUUCGGGGCAGAGGGAAUUCCUGGUGUAGCGGUGAAAUGCGUAGAGAUCAGGAAGAACACCGGUGGCGAAGGCGCUCUGCUAGGCCGCAACUGACACUGAGGGACGAAAGCUAGGGGAGCGAAUGGG